UACGAGGGGGGCAAAUGUUGUUCGGAAUCACUGGGCGUAAAGGGCGCGUAGGCGGGUUCUUAAGUAAGGUGUUUAAUCCCGGGGCCCAACCCCGGACCGGCACUUUAAACUGGGAAUCUUGAAUAGUGGAGAGGUCAGUGGAAUUGGGGGUGUAGCGGUGGAAUGCGUAGAGAUCCCCAAGAACACCAGUUGCGAAGGCGGCUGACUGGACACAUAUUGACGCUGAGGCUCGAAAGCAUGGGGAGCGAACAGG
rnacentral:rRNA from 1 species